GCGGGGUAACGGCCCACCAAGGCGUCGACGGGUAGCUGGUCUGAGAGGACGAUCAGCCACACUGGGACUGAGACACGGCCCAGACUCCUACGGGAGGCAGCAGUAGGGAAUCUUGCGCAAUGGGCGAAAGCCUGACGCAGCAACGCCGCGUGCGGGAUGAAGGCCUUCGGGUUGUAAACCGCUUUCGGCAGGGACGAAAUUGACGGUACCUGCAGAAGAAGCCCCGGCCAACUACGUGCCAGCAGCCGCGGUAAUACGUAGGGGGCAAGCGUUGUCCGGAUUUAUUGGGCGUAAAGAGCUCGUAGGCGGUUCGGUAAGUCGGGUGUGAAAAUCCAAGGCUCAACCUUGGGACGCCACCCGAUACUGCUGUGACUAGAGUCCGGUAGAGGAGUGUGGAAUUCCUGGUGUAGCGGUGAAAUGCGCAGAUAUCAGGAGGAACACCUGCGGCGAAGGCGGCACUCUGGGCCGGUACUGACGCUGAGGAGCGAAAGCAUGGGGAGCAAACAGGAUUAGAUACCCUGGUAGUCCAUGCCGUAAACGUUGGGCACUAGGUAUGGGGUCUUAUCAACGGAUUCCGUGCCGUAGCUAACGCAUUAAGUG
rnacentral:rRNA from 1 species